rnacentral:rRNA from 1 species
CUCGAGGCCAGAUCUUUCCGGUUGAUCCUGCCGGACCUGACUGCUAUCGGAUUGAUACUAAGCCAUGCGAGUCUUUGUAGCAAUACAAGGCAGACGGCUCAGUAACACGUAGUCAAUCUACCCUAUGGACGGGGAUAACCUCGGGAAACUGAGAAUAAUACCCGAUAGAUCAUUAUGCCUGGAAUGGUUUAUGGUCGAAAUGAUUUAUCGCCGUAGGAUGGGACUGCGGUCUAUCAGCUUGUUGGUGAGGUAAUGGCCCACCAAGGCUAUAACAGAUACGGGCUCUGAGAGGAGAAGCCCGGAGAUGGGUACUGAGACACGGACCCAGGCCCUAUGGGGCGCAGCAGGCGAGAAAACUUUGCAAUGUGCGAAAGCACGACAAGGUUAAUCCGAGUGUUUUCUGCUAAAGAAAUCUUUUGUCAGUCCUAAAAGCACUGAUGAAUAAGGGGUGGGCAAGUUCUGGUGUCAGCCGCCGCGGUAAAACCAGCACCUCAAGUGGUCAGGAGGAUUAUUGGGCCUAAAGCAUCCGUAGCCGGCCGUGUAAGUUUUCGGUUAAA